rnacentral:rRNA from 1 species
CCUACGGGUGGCUGUAGUUUCGAAUCAUUCACAAUGGGCGAAAGCCUGAUGGUGCGACGCCGCGUGAGGGAUGAAGGUCUUCGGAUUGUAAACCUCUGUCACUGGGGAAGAAACGCUUUGAGUUAAUAGUUCAAAGCCUGACUUAACCCGGAGAGGAAGCAGUGGCUAACUCUGUGCCAGCAGCCGCGGUAAUACAGAGACUGCAAGCGUGAUUCGGAUUCACUGGGCGGAGGCCGUGCGUAGGCGGCCGGAAAUCCCGGAGCUUAACUCCGGAACUGCGCCUCAAACUACACGGCUAGAGCAUUGGAGAGGGAAGUGGAAUUCACGGUGUAGCAGUGAAAUGCGUAGAUAUCGUGAGGAACACCAGUGGCGAAGGCGACUUCCUGGACAAUUGCUGACGCUCAGGCACGAAAGCGUGGGGAGCAAAAGGGAUUAGAUACCCCAGUAGUC